CAUAGCGACUAUCGUGGCAUAUCAAUAAGCGGAGGAAAAGAAACUAACUAGGAUUCCCUCAGUAACGGCGAGUGAAGCGGGAAGAGCUCAAAUUUGAAAUCUUCAAAGUUCUACCUUGACGAAUUGUAGUUUAAAGAAGUGUUUUCUGUUGGAGUUUUGGUAAAAGUUCUUUGGAAUAGGACAUCAUAGAGGGUGAGAAUCCCGUAUUUGACCAUUAUUUCCAGCUGUGUGAUACACUUUCAAAGAGUCGGAUUGUUUGGGAAUGCAGUCCAAAAUGGGUGGUAAAUUUCAUCUAAAGCUAAAUAUUGGCGAGAGACCGAUAGCGAACAAGUACCGUGAGGGAAAGAUGAAAAGAACUUUGAAAAGAGAGUUAAACAGUACGUGAAAUUGUCAAAAGGGAAGCGUUUGACACCAGUGUUGUUUUCUCGAAAAUCAAUUAAAAAUGAUGGGAUUUUGUGUUGUAUUGACUUUAUCGGCUUUCUGCACUUUUUUCCUUAUCUUUUUUAAUGCACUUUUCGUUUAACAAGUCAACAUCAGUUUCUUUUGUUGUAAAAGAGUCAUUGGAAGGUGGCUUUUCUUUCGGAGAAAGUGUUAUAGCCUUUGCUCUCUGCAAUCGGAGAGAUUGAGGUCUGCAGCGUAGAUCCUUCGGGGUUAGAUACAUUUGUGCUAAGCUAUAGUUCUUUCAUAGACAACUUGUUGACUAUAGUCUAGUCCUGUAGCUUACUCGCUUAUGCUAUUUUACCUACGCUUAGGAUGUUGACGCGCGUGUGUGCGUG
rnacentral:rRNA from 1 species